CCAGACUCCUACGGGAGGCAGCAGUGGGGAAUAUUGCACAAUGGGGGAAACCCUGAUGCAGCAACGCCGCGUGAGUGAGGAAGUAUUUCGGUAUGUAAAGCUCUAUCAGCAGGGAAUAGAAAAGAAGGUACCUGAAAAAGAAGCCCCGGCUAACUACGUGCCAGCAGCCGCGGUAAUACGUAGGUGGCAAGCGUUGUCCGGAUUUACUAGGUGUAAAGGGCGUGUAGCCGGGAAGGCAAGUCAGAUGUGAAAUCUGGAGGCUCAACCUCCAAAUUGCAUUUGAAACUGUUUUUCUUGAGUACUGGAGAGGCAGACGGAAUUCCUUGUGUAGCGGUGAAAUGCGUAGAUAUAAGGAGGAACACCAGUGGCGAAGGCGGUCUGCUGGACAGCAACUGACGGUGAGGCGCGAAAGCGUGGGGAGCAAACAGGAUUAGAUACCCCGGUACCU
rnacentral:rRNA from 1 species